CAUUGCAGUGGCCUGUCCACAUUCUGAUAUUGCAUUAUUGGCUGUGGACAAGAACCUCUACAGUCUCAAUAUUGAGAACCGGUUGUCACGGGACAAGAUGUUUGAAGCUUUGGAUGGAUGUUCAACUUCUUGUGGUCAGACAGUUGCAAGCUCAGAUGGAAUAUUUGAUGUUGUCGGAUUGACUUCUGUGUCUGGGACAAGUCUAAACCCACAAUGCAAUUGCUGCACAAAGUCUUGCUCUCAAGUUUGUCUGAGAGACG